rnacentral:pre_miRNA from 1 species
CGGGGGAGGCGGGAUCCUGGGCUGUGUCCCGGCGCCCUGUGCUCCGGAGCCUGCGCUGUUGGAUUCGCGUCCCGGGCCGCGCAGCCCCCU